rnacentral:lncRNA from 1 species
GAAAUAUGCUGCUGAGUACAAGUUUGACGGCAGGCAUUUCUCAAGCCAUCUCUCCAGUGACCAACAAGGUUGAUGGGAGUGAAAUCGUUUUCUGUUUAAAAAACUGAUUUGGAACAUAGAUUUUGAUGCUCAUCUUCCUAGAAAGACUGGCCACAUCUCUCAAAGGGCAGGUCUGAGGCAUCAUGAUACAUAACACUUUUUCUCCUGCUCAGAUUUCUCUGGACUGCACAUAUUUCUAAUUUUAGAAGUAGCUGCAAGCAGUUAGGAGUCAUGCACUCACAUAUUCAAUGGUCUGUGCCAAAGCUGUCCAUGUCUGUUAGGGUAAUGUGUACUCGGUUAUUUUAAAUUCUUUCCUUUGAAAUGAAUGCUUUGCUGUUUCCACAUUUUCUGAUAAUCAGAAAUAUACUUUUCCAGACCUCUUCCUAAAGCAUGUUGAUUUUAAGGUCUGCACCAGACCUCUGUUCUGCUCUCGACUGUUGAAUAUGUCUGGCUUAUUUAAAAAAAACUGUGUUUGCCCAUAGAGGGGCAGGGAACUGGGGAGGAGAAGGUAGUUAAGGUAGGAUUCUGACUCCAAAUGAGCUGAUUAAAAGGUAUCUGAGAUAAUUGUUUUCAAAGGUGGAAAGAGAUGGCUGGAAAUCAAUGGGCAGUCAUGUUGGAAUGUAAAAGUAAUCAACAUGAACACAGGCCAUAUCAUCAAUGCUUUCUGAAUGCAAAGGGAAAGGGAACUACUAUGCCGUGGCUUCCUUCAAAUUGAUGUGUCUUUCCAAACUUAGAGGAGCAAGAGAAAUGCUUGCAGGGACUUUAACUUGAAAAAAAAAAACAGGCUUGUGGCAUUAACAUAGCACGUUGAGUUCUUUGGAGUCAAGGUGCUGGCUAAAUUUCUCCUGCUAAUAAAUGCUUUUAUCACAAAGUAUACCCAAUUCCACUAUCUGUGUGAUGCAUACCAAGUUUCUUUGGUUUGUAGCAAGACCAUUUUGCAUUACAGUUAUUCAAGAAAUCACUGAUCAAUUACUAAGAUGCAUCUUCAUAAGAAAUAAAUUCUUGACAUGCAUAGAAGUAUAUGGAUGGUUGAAAGUAACUUGGAAAUUGGAGUAACUGAAAUAAUUUAAUCUAAUCCAGUCAUUUCACAGGUGGGAUAGUGGAGGCCCAAGUUACUUAUGGGAUUGGGUCAAAGAAAGCCAGCAUUCUUUGACCAGUAUUAACAUCUGUGUGUCCUGAUAUCUACUCAAACUAUGACAUGAUAAUAUCUGUACACCAAUCACACAGAAAUGAACUAGAGGUGAUAUAGUUUAGAUGUCCCUUCCAAAUCUCAUGUUGAAAUUUAACACCCAGUGUUGGAGGUGGGGUCUGGUGGGAAGCGGAUCCCUCAUGGCUUGGUGUUCUCCUUGCAAUAGUGAGUACUUGCAAGAUCUGGUUAAGUCUGUGGCACCUCUCCCCACCUCACUCUCUCUUGCUCCCACUCUGCCAUGAGAGAUGUCUGCUCCCACUUCGCUUUCUGCCAUGAGUAAAAGCUCCUUGAGGCCUCCCCAGAAGCCAAACAGAUGCCAGUGCCUUGCUUCCUGUACAGACUGCAGAACUUAUUUCGAUAGAAAGGCGCUUGAACAUGCAGAACGUGCUCACAGUGCUGGAGCUCUUGCCCUGCUGUUUGUAUGGACUCCAUAAAAAGGGCACUGCUACUGCAAGUACAGAUGGACACUGGAUUUUGUGGAUGCUCCUUGGACACACUGGAAUGCACCUUGGGCAGCCCGUGGAUCAUUUUCCCCAGUAUGAAGCAUGGGAGGAGCUGGAAAAUGAACUCAUGAGCCAGUUGAGCCAGCACAACAAGCUGGAGCCAGGAGUCUGGCUGGGCUAGCUUUUAUCUUGUGCUCCCUGGAACCCUGACUGGAUGAUUUCUGAAGUCGAGCUGGAGCCCAUCUAGAGGGAAGGUGAAACUUCUCCUCAGCAUGCAGGGCCUCCUGCACCCACACUGCCACAGCCACCGCAUUACCAGCUCCUGCCAGUCUGAGGAGCAAGAGGCUGGCAUGAAGAAUCAGUUCCAUUCUUUCCUCCCUAAAUUUAGAAAAAGCCUGUUUUGCAAAGCUUUCUUCAGUGUUUCAAGACAAAAAAAAAAAAAUUAAGCAGUUGCACAACAUGCAUAUCUUCUCCUGGCCUGCAGCUCCAGGAUAUGCAGCUGGGAGCGAGUGUCCAGCCAACAGCCCGUGUCUCAGGCCCUGCCAGGGGAUGAAUCAAUUAGCAAGAGAAGCAAUGAUGCAAAUGCUCCGGGGUCACUUGGGAUGCUGUUUGCCUUUUUGAUAGAGAAAGCACACCAUAAAUAACAUCACACCUCAGGAAAUCAUUCCAGGAGGCCCCGAUGCUGGCAGGGCUGCUGCCAGGGACGGAAGGAAUCGUUUGCUCAUUGUGUGUAUUUCCCCCAGCUCAGUCAAUGGGAGAUUUGUAGUAAAAUCAAAGUAUUUAAAAGGAGGACAGUAUGUGGUAACAGAGGCAUGUUUAGCAAUUUUUUUAGUACCAGAACCUGUGAUUUAUGACCCAGAGUUACAGCCAACUUUAUUACAAAAAUGACUUCACCCAUAAUAACCUUAUUCAGGGCCCUCUGAUGAAUGAUGUAGUAUCCAACAGCAUUAUAAUCUAGUAAAUAUUCAAACACAAUUCCCGCCUCCGCCUCAUUUCCAACCAACCCCUCAGAAGCAGGCUUCCCCCUUUACCUGCUGGGAGAAGUGGGGUCCUGGGUAAGGCUUUGUGCUCUGUCUGUGGGAGUUUGCCUGGAUCAGGCAUUUAUACUAAGCCAGGACAGAAAGUGACCUCCUGGGGUCUCAGUCAUAUCUUGUCCAACCUUGUCCCCUGAGGAGUAAUGAGCAGAAGACACCCACUCACCCUUCAUUUCCUCUCUGUGCUGAAACUUAUUUCCUCCCUGCAUUCCCCCACUCCUCCAGAGCUCAGAUCCCCACCACCUGAAAGGAGCUCCAGUAAGCUCCCUGACAUUUUUAAUUGCCAUGGUAACUGAGGGCUGCACUAAAACCGCCAGGGCUGGGUGUCCAAGCAGGGUCCCCUGGGCGUACCGGGAUCUAGAAACUAGCCCUCCAUCUUAUUAAACUCCGGUGUCAGUUCCUAGCAAUUGUUUUAAAUUUACACCCUCAGAGUGGCUUAGUGGGAUUACAUGUCCAUUUGCAUUAAAACAGUUUUCUGUCAUUAAACUGCCAUACAAUAAGCUUCCUUGGGACAAAUUAAUGAGCUCUAAAUAUCAUCAAGUAGAAGUUCACUUCAAGACAGGCAACAAGGAGGGGGGUCGGAAGGAAGUGGCUGCUCAGAAUCUCAUGGCCCAGGAGAACGAUAAGUGCCAACUAAAGAAGGGUCUUGUCCUGUUUCUUCACUGCACGAUAAGUGGUCCUGAUUUAGAGCUGAAUGGGGAGAUUUGGCAAUAUUCUCCCUGUUCGCCAAAAUCCUAUAGCUCAUCUUCUAUUCCUUCUUCCAAAUAUGACUUUACCCUUGACUUUGCUGAAAUUUGCUGAUGAAACACUGACCUCUUGUCUCAGUGACAAUGUCUCAGCCUCAUUUUCUUUGUCCUGUAGUUUCUCUGUCCUUGAGGAACUUGCGUGCAUCCACGUGGCCUGGGAACAACACGCACACAACGCAGCACUAUGUGUAGCUUGAACAAGUGCUCCCUAACUUUGUUAGUUCCCACACACUUUGCUAAAAUGCAUGUAUGAUUGCUACUGAACUGUCUGGGUCCUCAGACCUUAUCGGGACCCUGGAACACGAGUCCUGAUCAGGAGCACCUUUCAUGGUCAUCAGGAGCAGAAUAGGAACAGGGAACAGUUUAGCUUCUAAGACUGAAUUUGUCCUGCUCACAAGAAUCACCAGAGCUUGUCCUCACAAAUACAUAUGUGUGUCUAAGUAGAAAUUUUUCAUUAACACCAAAUAAACCCCCAAACCUUCCCUUAUGUAAAGGAAAUAAGACUGGCUGCUAGACAGACUUCUUGAUCCACAGAGGCUGUGAUCUCAUUUCUGUGUAGCCUUAACAGGGGACAGUAAUGUAUGAUUGAGACACUGCUAUAUUUAGGAAUGACAAGAUGAACAUUAUUAAUAGCUUAAUUGACAUUAAGGCAAUUACCCCUACCCUUAUUACAGUUUGUAGAAUUACACAGAAAAUAUUGGCUGGGGCCUUUUUUUCCCUAGAGCUACCCAAGGAUACAGCAUUUUAUUUCAUGCCAGAUCCCAGCUUUGACAUUAGAUACUUAGCCAUAGAAUGAUUCCAGUAAAUCAUUAUAAAUGCAUUAUAAUAAAGAUGUUAUGAGCUAUCAGAUAUUAACCCCCAACCCCUAAAGAGAGAUAAAUAGUCCAGUUGCAUGAUUCCCACUUUUGUUUCAUAAGAAAUAAGCUUUUGCAAAGAGCAACUGACUAAUGAAUUAUAAAAUGGUGUGUUGAGCUCAGAUAAUUAAACAAUGCAUUUUAGUGUCUAGUGCAGGAUGAACACUAAAUCAUACACAAAUAAAAAAGGUAAAAAUCUGAGCCCCAUGCCUAACUCCUAUUUUUGAAUAACAUUAAUGUUGGUCUACAGUCCAAAAAUGCUUCAACUAUUUUCUUAUCUGAUUAGAGAGGCAUAUCAAGUAUAAGAUCAAGGCACAGUAGGCAAACUAAACCAACAGUCAGAACAAAAACUGUGAAGGUGCUAAUUUCAGAUAAGCCCACAAGGUUAUUUUAAUGGAGAUUUUACAUGGAGAUUGCUUUUUCCCCCAAAGUGUUAAUGGGACAAAAGUCUAGAAGGACCUGGAAGUUUUCAGGUUUCCUUAUACUUUAUAUUUUCUCUGAACUCAUAAUAAAGCAUAUUAGUGGGAAUGGGAUCUAUGCUAUUGGUGGUGGUCUUAGCCUUAUAGUGUUGGAAAGAUGAAUACACAUCCUAAAAUCUUCUCUAGGUUGUGGAGGUGCAGGGAUGAGGAGGGGUUGGUUUGGGUUUCAACCAUUAUCCUCCCCAGGUGGUGGUAUCCUGCCCAGCAGGGCUUCAUCUAGUGGUCAACCAUGGAACACCAUGACAUUUUCACCAGUGGCCCUCAGACAGGGCUGGUUUGCCAUUGGCUGCCAUUUCCUGGCAUGUCGUAGAUUUGCUGCGUGAUUUGAAGCUGUGCUUCAGCACAUCCUGAAUGUGUUUUUUAGUCUUUCAGUAUCUCAAAGACAUGGUGUCCGCCUCAAGGUAGUCUCCUAUUUCUUCGUCAAAUAGCACAUCAUUAAGGACUGUGUGGCCAAAAUUACAGAUGGUCUUGGACUCUGUAUGGGCAAUGACCACCUGUGCUGGUAAUCGAGGCUUCCCUGGAACACCUGGGAACAUACCACACAGCCAGUCCUCUCCUGUGCUCCAGUCAAGCUUAACCUCACAGCCCGAUACUCCCUCCACUUCCCUAGCUCCAUGUGUUAGCCACUGCAGGUUAAUUGAUCUAAGGCUUAUUUUCUUCAAAUAUAAAAUGAAGAUAAUAAUGCCUACCCAGAGGGUCAUGUGAACAUUAAAUGAGAUCAAUUAUGUAAAGAUCUAUCUAUGCAGUGCCUUUCACAGAGUAUGCCCACAAAUAAAUGUUACCUGUUUCAUUUUAGUUAUCUAUGUUUAGCUAUCUUUGUGUUUUUUCUAUCCUGCUUCUUCUCGCUCCACUAUACUCUUACAUCCUAAUUCUCUCUCUCUCUCAUACACACAUACUUUGCUGUGUCUAGCACAGUGCUUUGCUUGUGGCUCACACUCUACAUGCUUGUUACCCUGAACUAUUAACAAAAGCAGCUGCUAGUAACAGUUAAUGUUUUCUGACCACCUACAUGAGCCAGGCACUAUGCUAAGUAUCAUCACUUCCUUUAAUUCUCACAAGCUUAUGAGACAAAUACUAUUUUAAUUCUCAUCUAUCGGAAAUUAAAGAUUAAAGAUGUUCUAUAACUUGCCCAAGGUCACACAAGCUCUUAAGUGGAUAGUCAAGAUCCAAACUCAGAACCGGCCUGGAUUUGAAAUCUCAGUUCUUAACUAUCACUGUGUCAGACUGAUUUUGUUAGCUUUUUCCUCCUUUAGACUGGGCCCUAUCAAGGGAUCAGAGAUAAGCAUGUACCCACUCUCAGAUGAGUGAUCCCACGACCUCAAGUUUUGAAGUUCCAGGAAGUCCAGAAGUGUAUGCUAACUCUAGUUUAUAGCUGUUCAAAAGUCACUUGUCUAAAAACUUCAGGGACAUUAUGUAAAACCAUCCAAAAAACAUUAUUGCACACCCCAUAAAGUUAAUUUCACUUUGCAAGAAUGUGUUUGAGGGAGGUGAUGCACUUGGCUAUGUAUUCAGGUUGGUGGCCACAAUAUAUGGAGCUGUGCUGUCAUCCUUGACACUCUGGCUUACUGGCAGCCUCGCUCCAACACACUGUCACAGGCGAGGGAUGGCCUCCCAGUCUUGACUCAGAACACUUAAGCUUCCUAAUGGUCCAAGUCUCACAAACCACACACCUCCCUUAAUUAAAAAAGUAAAUUAAAAGGAGUAUUUCAACUUAGGGAUGAAUUAUCUUAGUAAUUUAAGAUUGACAUUUUAUUGGAUAAAAGGACAUGUAUGAGUUUAUUUUAAAAUACUGCCUUCAUGAACAAGAGACCACAGAAAAGAUUAUCCUGAGGUUGCAAGGCGUUUGUAGAGCCAGAGGACACCCUUGCAAAACAGCCACUGUGAGAGGCCAGUUGCUGCAAAUCACAGGUCAGCCACUUCUACACUUGUCCUUCAAGCACAUCAGCCGGACAUUUGGAGUUUUCUAUAGUCUUCAUUUCAAACUCGAUCAUCCUGAGUGUUGUGGUGGACACUACUAGUGUCACAAAGAGUCCAGCACCCUCUCCUUCCAGGUAUAUAAACGGUGCAUUGCUGGGCUCCUUUGCAGUUGGAUAGGUCAGGUAAUUUGUCUGUUGUGAAGAGUUACUAUGUUUCACUUCUAAGCCGAAGCAUUUGAUUGUCAAUGGAAUACCCUCCAGCUCUCUCCUUCCCUGCAGAAGUAAUCUUGGAAGCAUGUGUUGAGAUGACAGAGUUCCCAAUAGCCUAGAUUCCUGAAUGACUUAGUGGAGCUGAGUCCUCCACAGGUCCAUGUUGGACAUGCACAAUCAGUGAGAAUAAACUUUUGUUGGAUUAAGUCACCGAUGUUUGGAGACUGUUCAUUACCACAACAAAAUGUAGCCAAAUCCCGACUAAUCCAGGAAUUAACCUUUUGUUCAGAAAAUACAGCCCUUCUAAGUCAUAAACCCAUAUUCUCUUUCCAAUAGCUUAUUAAAUGGUUUAUGUAUUUUCCAUCUUUUUGAUAUACUCUCAGAUGCCUAAAAUUACCACAGUGACCUUGGAUUGGACAAGGUAGUUGUUUGUCUUUUAGCCAUUAAUAAAUAUUGCUACUGUGGAAUGAGUGAGGGAAACAGAAGAAGACAAGGUUGGCCUUUUGAAAAUAAUAUGGCAUCAUGUAACGAUGAAAAAGAGAAAAAAUACAGAAAAAAGAGAAAACAAGAGAAAAAUGAAAAACAAGUCUAUAAGAGAGAAAAGUAGAGAAAAACAAAACAAUAGAAAUGCUGGGCAAUUUGUUUCAGAUUCACUAUAACCAACUGCUUGUUGUUGGGUUCUGCUCUAGAAGGCAUCUCUCAGGAUGCCUUUGACCCUCAGCACCUUUUUGUGUAUGUGCCUAGCAUACUGAGGUGCUCAAUAAAUGUUGAUUGAAAGGGUAAAUAAAGGAAUAAAUUUCCAUUUUAUAAUCUUGGAAGCAUAUAUUACUUUAAACGGCCUAUGACUAUGAAUGGACAUUCCAUUGCACAUUGAAAGGCAGUACAACAAGUGAGAAGGGAAGUAGAAAUAUAUGAGUUUGAAUAGCUCUUCAUAACCUUUAAACCUGAGUCCUUGCAAAGAGCAACUAUGAGGUCAGAGCAAUAAUUCUUUGUCCUAAAAACAGGACACCACUGAUAACUCAGAGCCGUCUGUUGAAGAAAGUGUUUCAAAUAAACUGGUUAGCAAUGCCCUUGUUUUGUUUGCCUCUGGAUGGGAAGAACUAGGAGUGCAAUCAGCACCGAGGUGUCUAUAGUCUUGAUGUGGUGGGAGAUGAAAGUAGGGGAACUGAAUAAUGUAUUUUUUCAAAACCUUGAAUGGAGCGAGAAAUACUGAUAAAAAGGAAGAGUUGUGAGUCAUUCUUCUGCUGAUGCCAACUGGGAAGCUCCAGUAGUAUAUUCCCCUGGUGAUGAAGUAAUUCACUUUUUCUGAGAUUAACAUUCUGUAGUAAGGCUGUUCCUCAUACAAGGUUGCUCACAGGUAAAGUUAAUAAAAGGCAGAGUCUAAGAAUUCAUAAGGAAGUUUGCCUUUCCAUGGGGAGAAAGCAUGCAAUCAGGGUCUCUAGUCUGUGUGCACACGUGUGUGUGCGCGUGUGUGUGUGCGCGCGCGCACUCAUAUGCACAGCUCAGAUGUCCAGGACUUGAGAUGAGAAUGGAAAGCACCGAAUAAGAAGAAAGCUGCCACACAGUAGGCUGAAGGAGAAUGACUACAACCUUUAGGCUGAAAAAAAAAAAACACUACAUGCUGGCGUGUAUCCUUGUGGAUAUGUGGAAACACAACAAAAAUAUUGGUCCAUCCUGGCUGCAGUUUUAAAGGAAAGGAAGAUCUCCUGGCAUCAACAUCUCUUGGAGAUGAACACACUAUACAUGCAAGUUCAAAUCUAUCAUCUUCCACCAGUCAACCCAAGCUACAUUCCCCUUCCAUUUAUUAUCAAAGGAAUAAGCACUUUUGUUUCCCAGGCUUAACUCCUCAAAAUCAUGAGCUUUUCUUCCCUACCUUUCCCUUCAUUCGAACUCUUUCCUUUCAAAAUGUUUAUAGAAUUCAUUCUUAUCCUCUCCCUGCCUGGGGGGUUUAUCUAGCUAGUCUAAAUUCUAGAUCAUUGCCUUUCUAUAGGAAAUAUAAAACACACAAAUAAUGAAAUACCCAUAAUCCAAGGCAGAAAUCAUGAGUGUUAUAGUAACAAUGGCCUCAAGAGCUAGACUGCCCAGGCAGCUCAUAUU